UAGUCACUAUCUAGGCUUUUAGAAUCCAGUUUCUGAUUUGCUGGGGACAUGGCCAUAACACAUUUCCCAGUAGGUUUUUGUGGUUUUGCUACCUUGCUAACAUUCAACAGAUUGGGGACAUCG
ensembl:snoRNA